rnacentral:rRNA from 1 species
UACGGGGGGGGGCAAGCGUUGUUCGGAAUUACUGGGCGUAAAGGGCUCGUAGGCGGCCAACUAAGUCGGGUGUGAAAUCUCGGAGCUUAACUCCGAAACUGCAUUCGAUACUGCCGUGCUUGAGGACUGGAGAGGAGACUGGAAUUUACGGUGUAGCGGUGAAAUGCGUAGAUAUCGUAAGGAAGACCAGUGGCGAAGGCGGGUCUCUGGACAGUUCCUGACGCUGAGGCACGAAGGUCAGGGGAGCAAACGGG